UAUGAUCAUAUCACAUUGAAACACUGGUUUCUGUACAAUCACUGAAGUUAAGCAAUGUUGAGCCUGGUCAGUACCUAGAUGGGUGACCACUUGAGAAUACUAGCUGCUGUAAG
rnacentral:rRNA from 1 species